UACGUAGGGUGCGAGCGUUAAUCGGAAUUACUGGGCGUAAAGCGUGCGCAGGCGGUUUUGUAAGUCAGAUGUGAAAUCCCCGGGCUUAACCUGGGAACUGCGUUUGAAACUACAAGGCUAGAGUGUGGCAGAGGGGGGUGGAAUUCCACGUGUAGCAGUGAAAUGCGUAGAGAUGUGGAGGAACACCGAUGGCGAAGGCAGCCCCCUGGGUUAACACUGACGCUCAGGCACGAAAGCGUGGGGAGCAAACAGGAUUAGAUACCCUGGUAGUCCACGCCCUAAACUAUGUCAACUAGUUGUCGGGCCUUAACGGGCUUGGUAACGAAGCUAACGCGUGAAGUUGACCGCCUGGGGAGUACGGUCGCAAGAUUA
rnacentral:rRNA from 1 species